CAGCAAAUGCCGGUGAAAAUAAACUGCACAAUGGGUAAUGUACUCUGGAAGGCUACUCUCGGUUGGGUCGUCGAAAAGGAAAACUCCACUGCAGGACGGAGGCCUUACGCUGGCUCCACCGAACGCAACAACAUAGUAUAGAUAAUUCGGUGCUAAUUGGAGCAUACGGUUUAAUUUACACUAUGUGCAUUAUAUGCACCCCAGCUACGCUUCGGCCGGUGCGGGGAGUGUCAAUAGGCCGAUCGGUUCUAUAUAUAAAAGAGAAUCUGUCGUCCGUUUCCAUAUUCAAAAUCCACCGGCUUGACAUCAGUGCUGCAAGUGAACAUUUUGUUUGAGCUAGUUCGUGAUAAGCUUUCCUGUUGCGAAAAUGAAAAUAGUGAGCAAUUUGCUUAAGGCUCUGUGUGCUGUGCUGGCAAUGCUGUUACUACUUCCCGUAGAAGUUUUACCAUCUCCCGUGCCUCAAAAUCCAAUCCGAACCAUCGACGCCAUCGACCAAGGCCCGUUCCAAACCGGACAUCGAAUUCGGCAGCGAGGACAUCACAGGAAGUUCUUCCCAGCACCGCCGGCUAUUACUGGAUAAUAGUAACAGCUUUGAGGCCAAAUAUAGUAACCAAUAGGCGGCGAAACCAUUUAGUAUGUAGAGCCCUUAUCAUAAGUGUUGCUGAAACAUUCAACAAAUAGUUUCGGCCCGAAACUCCACCUUUGGGUUGUGUGCGUGUCUGCGAAAUCGAUUGAACCAUGCUCGUCGUAAAUUUGAUUAGCACCAAUCGCGACUUUAGCGUAAAUUUGAUCGAGCACGAAGAUCUAUAUAAACUGAAUCAUAGCUGUAGUAUGCGGUACAUUCAUUCAAGUCACACGCUUACUAGCGGUCACAGCGUUGGCUCUGCUAAAUCGCAUUUCCGGUGUGCAACGCAAUGCAGCUAAGAAGCGUCCUCGUUCUGCUGGUCCUGCUGUGUGCCCUGUUCGAUGCCGUCGCUGGUCAGCGGUCGAACGGUUUCCCAACGUACGACGAUCAUCCCUCGCCGUUUCGGUUUAACAGACCGAUCGCUACGAAAAAACCACGGCGUAAGUUCUUCCCAGCACCGCCGGCCAUUGUCGGAUGAGCAAAGUGGAGUUCAAGCGCUUCCCAUCGCCGAACGAAACAGUGCCUGCCAAAAUGUGUGUACAAAAACCAAACCAAGUGAUCGUUCUAGUAUGGCUUCGAUUAAGAUAACUAAGAUAAGGAUAGCAAAAUGGAGGAAUCGAUCCGGAAGUUGGACAUGAAGGUGCAAUCAGCAGCUAGCAGCUGAAUUGUGUACAUAACCAUGUAACGUGUAGGAGAUGAAAUGAGGGUGUACGAACAGCUCAAAAUUGCCACUAAACACUGUCCAUUUAAUUGUACAGUGAAAAAUUGUACAACUAUUUAUACCAUUGUUAUUUAGUUAAGCAUGUUUUGAUUUGUUUUUGUUAGAUCAAACAUAUAAUAAACUUUUUUUAUGUGAUAAUUGUUAA